CCUACGGGGGGCAGCAGUGAGGAAUAUUGGUCAAUGGCCGAGAGGCUGAACCAGCCAAGUCGCGUGAGGGAAGACGGCCCUACGGGUUGUAAACCUCUUUUGUCGGGGAGCAAAGCGAACCACGUGUGGCUCAUUGAGAGUACCCGAAGAAAAAGCAUCGGCUAACUCCGUGCCAGCAGCCGCGGUAAUACGGAGGAUGCGAGCGUUAUCCGGAUUUAUUGGGUUUAAAGGGUGCGCAGGCGGAGGUGCAAGUCAGCGGUAAAAUUGAGGGGCUCAACCCCGUACUGCCGUUGAAAGUGCAUCCCUUGAGUGCGCGAGAAGUAUGCGGAAUGAGUGGUGUAGCGGUGAAAUGCAUAGAUAUCACGCAGAACUCCGAUUGCGAAGGCAGCAUACCGGCGCGCAACUGACGCUCAUGCACGAAAGCGUGGGUAUCGAACAGGAUUAGAUACCCCUGUAGUC
rnacentral:rRNA from 1 species